CGCCUGUUUAUCAAAAACAUCUCUUCUCGUUAGUUUUUGAAGUAUGGCCUGCCCACUGACCUUGAAUGUUGAAGGGCCGCGGUAUUUUGACCGUGCAAAGGUAGCAUAGUCAUUAGUUCUUUAAUUGUGAUCUGGUAUGAAUGGCUUGACGAGGCAUAAGCUGUCUUAAUUUUGAAUUGUUUAUUGAAUUUGGUCUUUGAGUUAAAAUUCUUAGAUGUUUUUAUGGGACGAGAAGACCCUAUAGAGUUUAACAUUUAUUAUGGUCUCUUUCUGUUUGUGAGGGUUCAUUAGGGCUGUUUAAUAUGUUUUGUUGGGGUGAUGGGAGGGAUAUUAUUUAACCCCUCCUUUGUGUUGUUAUAUUUAUUUAUAUUUGCUUGAUCCAUUUAUUUUGAUUGUAAGAUUAAAUUACCUUAGGGAUAACAGCGUAA
rnacentral:rRNA from 1 species